ACUGUGUAAGAAUUUCUCCCACCUAGUGGUAAAAUUCUAUGUAACAACCAACUGUAUAUUACUUUCUAGCCCUUCCCAUUCCGAGCGCGUUUCAACUAAACCCGAAAUUAGCUCUUAAUAUCUCCAUCACUUACACACAGCUGUUCUAGUCAAUCCAAUAUUAACUUUGGUCUUGUUGCUUUGCUUGUCGCGUUGUCAUUUAAAUUCUCUUUUUCCCUCUUGGCUGGCAUUUGUCACAGUGCCACUGAGUCUAAAAGUGCAAAAUAAGG